CCCGUGGAGACGAGUAUUUUGGCUGAUCAACGUAUUUGAUUGUGUUCUUAUUUUAUUUCUUCUUUCUUCUUGCUGCAACGAGUGAUAUCGAAUACUGUCUAAGAGUGCUAAUUGUGCAUAGCCAAUGCAAUAAAUAUUUCAAAGAUUAGAAUUAUUUCAAUAUUGAAUUAAUCAUAAGCUUCAUAAUUAAAUUAAAUUUUUUUCUUUCAAACCACCAA
rnacentral:lncRNA from 1 species